UACCGGCGGUCCAAGUCGCAUCCACAUUUAUUGGGUCUAAAACAUCCGUAGCUUGUUCUAUAAGUCUCUUGUGAAAUUUCAUAUCUCAAAUAUGAAGCGUGCAAGAGAUACUGUAUUACUAGAGACCGGAAGACGUAAGGAGUACAAUUAAGGUAGCGGUAAAAUGUGUUAAUCUUGAUUGGACUAACAAUGGCGAAGGCACCUUACGAGUACGGAUCUGACAGUGAGGGAUGAAGGCUAGGGGCGCAAAAGGGAUUAGAUACCCCUGUAGUCCUAGCAGUAAACACUGCUCACUAAACAUCAGUACCUCUUCGAGAGGUAUUGGUGCUGUAGGGAAGCCGAAGAGUGAGCUACCUGGGAAGUAUAGUCGCAAGGCCGAAACUUAAAGGAAUUGGCGGGGAGGCACUACAACGGGUGACGCGUGCGGUUUAAUUAGACUCUACACCGUGAAUCUCACCAGGACCGACAGCAGAAUGAAGGUCAGCCUGAAGGGCUUACCUGACGCGCUGAGAGGAGCAGCAUGGCCGACAUAAGCCUGUGUCGUGAGAUGACUUGUUAAAUCAAGUAACAGGCGAGACCCUCGUGUCUAAUUUCUACGUUAAGAGCACAUUAGACAGACUGCCUUGGUAACAAGGAGGAGGGUGAGGGCAAUGUUAGGUGGGUACAGCCCGAACGCCCUGGGCAACACGCGCGCGGCAAUGUCACAUUCAAUGAGAUGCAACUCUGAGAAGAGAAGCUAAUCUCCUAAAGUGUGGCUUAGUUCAGAUUGAGGUUUGUAACCCAACCUCAUGACGCUGGAAUCCGUAGUAAUCGUUCAUUAUCAGUGAACGGUGAAUACGUCACGGCCUCU
rnacentral:rRNA from 1 species